AUCUGAUGUUUCUGGAGGUCUUCAAUUGCACCAAGCUAGAAUCUUUCCAUUGUGACAAGGAUGGGGUGUGGAUGAACUGUGGGACGCAGGAGGUCAGCAAGUAGAAGAUGAUUCAAGUAAAAAAGAGCAAGAAAUAAAGUUCCAUUUAGGAUGACAACAUUUGUAGAUGAAUGUUUGAUUGGUAGUUCACAGCCAAAAUUGUCAUGACCUUACAUGCUUGGAGUACCUCCAACGGACAUGGAAUUCUACAUUGUCGUGAUUAUUUGAUGGAGAAGCACAAAAAGGAUGUGGUGUUUGUAUCGCUUUCUUAGAAUUUUCAGUUUUGAUUUAUUUUGGAUGCUUUCUCAUCUAAUCUAGGUCAUAUUAAUGCAUUUCAGGUGAAGAAUUUACUGAAGCAGUUCAAUUGCUACCAAGUAGCUCACCUAAAGAACAUAGAU